AAACAAGUUGACUUAAGUUCACAUUCGGACACCAUAAAAGUGAUACAGUAACAUCAAAAUAAUGCAUUUUCAACUUCUAACCAAUAAAAAAAAAUCAAUAUGUUUGUUCACAAAUUGAGAAAUAUAAGUUUCACAGCUGAGACCUGUGCCUAACCUUCAAUGUCAGGAACUUGUGGUUUUGUAAACUGAAAGAGAAAGAGCAGGAAGUGCAGGAACUAGCAAGAAGUGUUGCUACAAAGUCUUCUUUAGUCACUCAUGAGAAAACAAGGUGCGGUAAACUGACUGAUAAAAACGUACGUCCUCAGGAAUGUGCGGGAUUGAAAGAGAUAGGUUUGAAUAAGACAGAGGGAGGGACUGUUGAAAAAACGUGGAGGUGUGUUUCAUUGUGUCAUUUCAGUCUGCCAGCUAGUUUUCCUCACCCACAUUUUGCUCACACUUCUCAAACAACUGGACUCGAGCUCAUAAACUGUUUCAACAUUUAGUAAAUAUAUUUAACAAAAAGAGGAAGUUUUGAUGGGAAGUUUGUAAUCUGGUUGUGACUGGCACUUCCUUCAUUGAACUUAGUCUUUAUAUAAACUGAAUGAAGCAGUAGGAGCUUGAAAGGCAAGAAUCAACAGAGAUUUUUCGGAGCAGAAACAUCCAAACUUGGUUAUAACAUAACUGGAUCACUGUCUCAUCUGGGGAAUUCCACACUGUUCUUCUCAUAAAUCAAGUCCGGGCGAGUCUAGAUGUCUGAUCCGGCUAGUAAUAAUCAACUAUCACAAGGAAAGGUUAGUGAUGCUUUCCUUGAAGAGCAUUCUGAGGUGGACUUGCACAGUGUCAUCUGCUGUAAAGGACAACAUAACAUUUGCAGAGACCCAGACCAUCGGAGAUUAGCCAUAUGCAGCAUCAUAUGUGGACUCUCAUGCAUCGGAAUUGUGUCCCUUAUCUACUCUGUCAAGUCUAGAGAGACAAGAAAAACACUUCAAACACACGAGAAUCUGAAAGUUAAAGAAUACUCAAGAAAAGCUGUAAAAUGGGGAAUAGCAUCCAUUGCAGCAUGGGUGUUUUUAAUUUUGAUCUUUAUCCUUUUUCUGGGGUUACUGUCAUAUAUUUUGACCUUCAUAGACUAAGACAGCAAACCUUUGCACCAGAUAUCAUUAACCGAGCAACCAGAGGAAACAAACAGAGCUGAAAUCUGCCAUGGAUUAUCACUCACACUGGACAAACUGGAAUUAGUCCACAAACCUUUUAAGCUGUUCAUUAAUAUUCAAUGUGUGUGCAAUUAUAUACUGCUUGUUAUACGGUUGUAUCAAAGUAUUCUGAAUGUCAAAAACCUGAAGAAUUUGCACGAAUAACAAAGUAAUUUGAAUUCCCUAUAAUGUCCUCAAGUGCAUCAAUGGACUAACAAACCACUCGCAGAGCACAGACCAACUCUGUUAAAGUAUUAUAAUGAACCUUCAGUGAACUGUUUUUAUUUUUGUUCUUAAUCCAAUAUUGCAACAAAACAUUGAGACACUCACAGAGAGCACCAAACUUUUGAAAAACAUCUAUUACAUGUUGGGAUAUGAAACUGGUUACAUUAUUUUCUACUUGUAAAUAUUUUGUAUGUUUUAAUAUAUUGUGCUUUUUUAAAUGUUUUAUAUUUCAUUUCUUCCAGGGCUUGUAAUAAAAAUGUAUAUUAGUCAAAAUGCA